rnacentral:rRNA from 1 species
UACGUAGGGGGCAAGCGUUGUCCGGAAUCAUUGGGCGUAAAGCGCGUGUAGGCGGCUUCGUAAGUCCGUUGUGAAAGUCCAGGGCUCAACCCUGGAAUGCCGAUGGAUACUGCGGAGCUAGAGUCCGGAAGAGGCGAGUGGAAUUCCUGGUGUAGCGGUGAAAUGCGCAGAUAUCAGGAGGAACACCAAUGGCGAAGGCAGCUCGCUGGGACGUGACUGACGCUGAGACGCGAAAGCGUGGGGAGCAAACAGG